GAUGAACGCUGGCGGCGUGCCUAAUACAUGCAAGUCGAGCGAACAGACGAGGAGCUUGCUCCUCUGACGUUAGCGGCGGACGGGUGAGUAACACGUGGAUAACCUACCUAUAAGACUGGGAUAACUUCGGGAAACCGGAGCUAAUACCGGAUAAUAUAUUGAACCGCAUGGUUCAAUAGUGAAAGACGGUUUUGCUGGCACUUAUAGAUGGAUCCGCGCCGCAUUAGCUAGUUGGUAAGGUAACGGCUUACCAAGGCAACGAUGCGUAGCCGACCUGAGAGGGUGAUCGGCCACCCGGGAACUGGGACACGGUCCAGGCUCCUACGGGAGGGCGCAGUAGGGAAUCUUCCGCAAUGGGCGAAAGCCUGACGGAGCGACGCCGCGUGAGUGAUGAAGGUCUUCGGAUCGUAAAACUCUGUUAUUAGGGAAGAACAAAUGUGUAAGUAACUAUGCACGUCUUGACGGUACCUAAUCAGAAAGCCCCGGCUAACUACGUG
rnacentral:rRNA from 1 species